ensembl:lncRNA
GCUUAACACAGCUUUUCGCAUCUCAUUCCAGAGUAAUGACCUCUAUCAAUGUGUUAAUUCAGAGUUUCUAAGGAAGAAUGAUCUAGACAUGCUUUUUUUUUUUGUCUGCCAAGCUUACAAAGCUGAUCUGCAGCUGUUGUGUAACUGGCAUGUUAAUUCAGCUCGAGUGGUUCUUCUGUGUACAUUCUGUUAUGCAAACUUCCUUUCGAAUCACAUCACACCCUUAGAACAAACAACAUGAAGCUUUUGGAAGAGUAAGCAAGUCUAGAGGGAGAUUUAUAUGAGUGAGAAGGAAGUCCACAAAUCUUCUUUCCAGACUGUGUGAUAUGAUAAAGAUGAGAAACGGACCGAGAUCUGUUCAUUUCACAUAACUUGAGCAGAAAAAUACAAAAAGAAGACUCUGCUUUUACAAAAGAAAUGCAUGACCGCAUGUGCUCAUCCAAUGUGCCUGAGGAAGUAGAACAUGACCUCACAAUUUAUCUAUUUAAAGCAUAUGGAACUUGGUUCUCAUAAAGUACAUGCCUUUUUCCCCCUCAUGUGUGUGCAUGUUUUUUUGGUCACUGAGCCCUGAUGGCGGUGUUCAUGGAAAAGGCUUUGUGUAGUGUGCUGACACUGUCUUUUUCUUUCAGUCUCUCUUCCCCUGUGCUUGGCAACAGGUCUGUGCAGGGCAGACCACGUGAAGCUGUGAUUGGACACUGAAGAAUGAGGAUGCACACUCCCUACAGGUGAAUUCUCCUACCUUGAGUCCAGCAUUCACGGGAUAGGUUCCUGAUCCACCAAGACCCUUUCCAGGAUAAAGUUACUGAAAAUGAAUGAUGGAAAUGUCAAUGGUAAAAUGUAUCAAUGUUCACGCUCUCAGAAGACCUGACCAGCCCUUGGCAGAGAGUGCUUUACCUUGGGUCUGAGCCUGAUCUGGUCAAUUUCAGCAUGUGUCAGCACUGUUCUUGAAACUUCACAUGGGUGCUGCAUGAACACACUCCUGACCUGCAAAGCAUGACCUUUUGAUUAAAAUGUACGUGUACAUUCUCAGUUUUCUGAAACUUUACAGCUGCAUCAGAGAUCUUGUGGUAACAUUAAAA